UAGUUGGAUUUCUGCUGAGGACGACCGGUCCGCCCUCUGGGUGAGUAUCUGGAUUGGCCUGGGCAUCAUCUUGGAGAACGUCGCUGCUCUUGACUGCGUGGCGCGGUAUCCUGGACAUUUACUUUGAGGAAAUGAGAGUGUUUCGAGCAGGCGUACGCCCUGAAUCUGUUAGCAUGGAAUAAUAAUAUAGGACCUCGACUCUAUUUUGUUGGUUUCUAGUGUUGAGGUAAUGAUUAAUAGGGAUAGUUGGGGGCAUUUGUAUUUAACUGUCAGAGGUGAAAUUCUUGGAUUUGUUAAAGACAAACUACUGCGAAAGCAUUUGCCAAGGAUGUUUUCAUUGAUCAAGAACGAAAGUUAGGGGAUCGAAGACGAUCAGAUACCGUCCUAGUCUUAACCAUAAACUAUGCCGACUGGAGAUCGGGGGUCGUUAACUUUGUGACGCCCUCUGCAUCUUGAGAGAAGUCAAAGUCUUUGGGUUCCGGGGGGAGUAUGGUCGCAAGGCUGAAACUUAAAGGAAUUGACGGAAGGGCACCACCAGGAGUGGAGCCUGCGGCUUAAUUUGACUCA
rnacentral:rRNA from 1 species